rnacentral:rRNA from 1 species
AUUGAACGCUGGCGGCAGGCCUAACACAUGCAAGUCGAGCGGGAACUUCGGUUCUAGCGGCGGACGGGUGAGUAAUGCGUAGGAAGCUACCCGACAGAGGGGGAUACCAGUUGGAAACGACUGUUAAUACCGCAUAAUGUCUACGGACCAAAGUGUGGGACCUUCGGGCCACAUGCUGUCGGAUGCGCCUACGUGGGAUUAGCUAGUUGGUGAGGUAAUGGUUCACCAAGGCGACGAUCCCUAGCUGGUUUGAGAGGAUGAUCAGCCACACUGGAACUGAGACACGGUCCAGACUCCUACGGGAGGCAGCAGUGGGGAAUAUUGGACAAUGGGCGAAAGCCUGAUCCAGCCAUGCCGCGUGUGUGAAGAAGGCCUUCGGGUUGUAAAGCACUUUCAGUAGGGAGGAAGAGUUGAGUGUUAAUAGUACUCAGCUUUGACGUUACCUACAGAAGAAGCACCGGCUAACUCUGUGCCAGCCGCCGCGGUAAAAC